rnacentral:lncRNA from 1 species
CUCAAGGCCUGAUCACAUCACAUCCAGACUCCUGCCAAAAUUUUCUCAGCUUCCUGUUAUAUCCUCUCUUCUUCCUCCUCCUAACCCAAUUGGCUCUUCAUGCUGUGCUUAUAAGGAAGAAACUUGAGUACCAGCUACCUGCUGUCUAGGGUGAGCCUUUACUCAGGAUUCCCAAAAUCAAGGGUCCUGCCACUGACUUUAGAAGUAAAUGGAACUUGUUGCCAAAAGAAAACAAGAAGCCAGGGCAAAAGAGAGGCACCCAAGAUGGAAAACUUGGUGUAUCAUCCUUCAUUCUUCUCUCUCCAUCAUAAUCCAUUAUUUAACAAGUCCAUUUGAGAGCAUAUCUCCUCAGCUUAUUUUGAUCUUCAAUGGAAGCAUCCACAUCUUGCUUCCUAAAUAGUUUCCUCUAAUUAUUGAUUUCAUUUCAAGAGAGGAUCAAGGAGAAAAGAAAAAAGGAAAGACUGACUCCUUCAAACUGCUGCCAAUUAUGGCCCACAUUCACUUGAAUUAUUGUUGAUUGUCAUAGAUUUCUACUCACCUG